rnacentral:rRNA from 1 species
UACGAAGGGUGCAAGCGUUACUCGGAAUUACUGGGCGUAAAGCGUGCGUAGGUGGUUUGUUAAGUCUGAUGUGAAAGCCCUGGGCUCAACCUGGGAAUUGCAUUGGAUACUGGCAGGCUAGAGUGCGGUAGAGGAUGGCGGAAUUCCCGGUGUAGCAGUGAAAUGCGUAGAGAUCGGGAGGAACAUCUGUGGCGAAGGCGGCCAUCUGGACCAGCACUGACACUGAGGCACGAAAGCGUGGGGAGCAAACAGGG